GCCCAGACUCCUACGGGAGGCAGCAGUGGGGAAUAUUGCACAAUGGGGGAAACCCUGAUGCAGCGACGCCGCGUGAGCGAUGAAGUAUUUCGGUAUGUAAAGCUCUAUCAGCAGGGAAGAAAAUGACGGUACCUGACUAAGAAGCCCCGGCUAACUACGUGCCAGCAGCCGCGGUAAUACGUAGGGGGCAAGCGUUAUCCGGAUUUACUGGGUGUAAAGGGAGCGUAGACGGCAAUGCAAGCCAGAUGUGAAAGCCCGGGGCUCAACCCCGGGACUGCAUUUGGAACUGUGUAGCUGGAGUGUCGGAGAGGCAGGCGGAAUUCCUAGUGUAGCGGUGAAAUGCGUAGAUAUUAGGAGGAACACCAGUGGCGAAGGCGGCCUGCUGGACGAUGACUGACGUUGAGGCUCGAAAGCGUGGGGAGCAAACAGGAUUAGAUACCCCAGUAC
rnacentral:rRNA from 1 species